UGAAAUCCAGAGGAAGCACUUGGUACAUACUUGUGCAGCUGUGCUGUAGUCCACUUAUAGGAGAGAUUGAACCAAAGGCAUAAACACUUCUAUCAAAUUAUUUCAUGGAUCAUGCUGGUUUUUUUCAUUAAUAAGUUUUAGAAGCAGUGCAGAUGCCACACAAAUAUCUGUUUGUUAGUGACCUCUGCUUUCCAUUACCCAAAUAACAGAGUGCUGUAGCCAGCGUCUCGCAUACCUCGUAUGUGGAGAUGAGCAACGCUGGGGGUUUGCUUCAUGAUCCUUCUGCUGGCAAAAUGGAGUGAGGGAAGAAAUCUAAAACUCUUUUCAGGACAAACCCCUGCAGCCUGUACCUCAACUGGCUAAAGACUCCCUUGGCUUACAGAAGGACAUAUCACUCCAAUCUUGAAAACGAGCUAAACUCAGCAACGAGGCUGCAGAAACUUUCGUUUCUCUUCAGGAAUAUCAUACCUCUCCAGUGACUUGUGAGCUGGUAUGUGAACAAAGGGAGGCCGUUAAAUCGUGCUGCUGGGAACCAUACGGGCAGUAGUCUCUCCAGUCAAAGAAGCUCCUGUGCUCUGCUCUUCUGUUUUCAGAUACUUAACUUUAAAAAAAAGGCAAGUAUUGACACCAUCGCUUUUUAUUGCUUUGUUUCCAUUGCUUUGCUCUCCUUUGCUGUCCUGCUGUGUUUCAUCCAUGUGUCCUCAAUGUUUUGAUAAUUUGCAGCACAGUUUCUCCUAUAAUAUUAAGAAACAUUAAACUAUUAUAACCAUUAUGCCAGCGAUUUAAAUUUGCUUUUAUCCUCCACUGAAAUGAUGGAAGUGUCUUAGUGAGAGACUAGCUUAUAUACACCACACUUGUAAACAAAUAUCUGUAGAACUGCAGUGUUCCACAGUUCUAGUUUUUUCCCUCCAAAAUUGCUAUGAAAAUGACAUAAACAAAAUGCCAUGUUUCACUUUUUGUUUAAAAUCUAAUUAUUAUUCAGGAUUGUUAAAAAAAAAACAACGCAAACCUG
rnacentral:lncRNA from 1 species